rnacentral:misc_RNA from 1 species
CAACGCCACUUCAGAAAAAAAGAAAAAUUAAACACAGCAAUGCUGUAUUCAUCAACAAUGAUAAGGUAUCAAGUUCAAUCAAGUUUACAUUCAAACACAGGUAUCUGCAAAACAAACCUUUCCAUACAAUGCUCUUGCAGAUGCUAAUGAAUGUGUUAAAGACUAAAAGAAUCUCAGACAAUAACAGUUGUUCCUACAUGAAAACCACUACAGUGAACCAAGUAAGAAAUAACGAAAUUCCUAAUUGAAGAGAUGAUCGCAGGCCUUCUUAGUUCAUCCUAAUAUGCAUAUUCAUGGCUCCCAAUGACUAUAAAAGCAACGGAAUUCGAUUGAGUUUGCCAUUCUCUACGUAUUACAUUACAAAAUACAACAAGGAAAAAAAAAAAAAGA